AGAGCGAACGCUGGCGGCGUGCUUAACACAUGCAAGUCGAGUGCGCGUCCGUAGCAAUACGGAUGGCGCACGGCGCACGGGUGCGUAACACGUGGGCAACCUGCCCUUUGGAUGGGGGAUAACCCCGCGAAAGCGGGGCUAAUACCGCAUGACAUUCAGGAGACUUCGGUCUUUUGAUUCAAAGCCCGCAAGGGCGUCUAAGGAGGGGCCCGCGCCCGAUUAGCUAGUUGGUGAAGUAACGGCUCACCAAGGCAAUGAUCGGUAGCCGGUCUGAGAGGAUGGCCGGCCACACUGGAACUGAGACACGGUCCAGACUCCUACGGGAGGCAGCAGUGGGGAAUAUUGCGCAAUGGGCGAAAGCCUGACGCAGCGACGCCGCGUGGGGAUGAAGCUUCUCGGAGUGUAAACCCCUUUCGACCCGGACGAAUGACCCGCAAGGGUUUGACGGUACGGGUAUAAGAAGCCCGGCUAACUACGCGCCAGCAGCCGCGGU
rnacentral:rRNA from 1 species